AUACAGCACAGUUGUUUUUUUCCAAAGCACUAUUAAGCUUUUCUUUCACAAGGAAAAAGGAAUGUUUGCAAAGAUACUAAAGAUGAUAGCAGCUCCUGUCCCUGAUGGUGAAGAGGACUGCAACGGUGAUGGCAGAUGGAGUCGUGCCAGUUCAAGGAAAACUUGCCUCAUGAAUGCAGAAUAUUUCUUCACAUAAGAUGCCAGGAUGCAGAGGCUGUGUGGGCAUGGAUGCUUUUUGAAAAGUUUGUGUUCCGUGGGAGGACCUACAAUUCCAAAACAACAAAAAGAGAUUCAGAAUGAAAGGGAGAACAUCUCCAAAUUUCCCUUGGAAGGGAAGCCUGGAUGGGGAGCAGUGGCUGAGAUCUGUGGCUUUGGCUGGAUGACAGGCUACCUCAGACCACAGUGUGAAAAAGGAAGAUGGAUAUACAGCAAGCCUACAAGGAAACCCGAUAUAUCAUCAGGGAAAAAACUUGACACAUACAGAGUGUUCCAUGAAUCAUGAAAAUACAUUUCAACAACUAAGCUGAAACCCUCAUGAGACAAGGAGAGAGCCACUGGAGGCUCAGAGAAAACUGCAACCCCAGAUGUUACACAAGAGCCAGUAUCAUCUGAGCUAAGGGAAGAGGAUAAGGCAGGUCACAGCAAUGGUGCAUUCCAGUUGGCAACACCCAAGCUAAUGUGCGUUCAUUGGACAGGCAGUGGGCAGGCACACAGGCAGCUGCCAUCCAAACAGAUGGAGUGGGAGGGCAAGACUGGUGGACAAAGGAUGCACACCUUGGGUGAAACCAUGUUUCAUCAGUUGUUCUGCCCACUGAGUAACCUGUUGAGUGUUGGUGUGUCAGCUCCAGAGUGACAGUGGAUAUGAACAAGAUCUGCAGCUUGUUCCAAAAGCAUCAAGGGUUCCCGUGAGAUCUCCCACCCGAGGAAUUACUAGAGCCAAAGCUGCACAGCUUGCAAGACUGGAGGAUAUCAAAGGAAUGAAGUCCAGCAUGGCUGUGGGCUAUUUUCUGUACUCAAUAAAGGUAAAAUAUGCAUGCAA